UCGCGUUCAUGCGUUCACCCACAAAUAGUAUGACAGGAACACAUAUUUUACUCUCAACCAAACUAAACUAGCCAAUCAGAAGUAGAAUGGGGCGGGUCUUUAAAGUGUGGUUGAGAGAUCCAGCUGCAGAUACCGUGCGGAGACCGGAGAUGUCACGUAGCAAGGAAUCCGCAGGAUGGAAAACAACAAACCAAAGGAUGAGGACUGCAGCAUUGCUUGGGCUGCCGUGAUACAUGCGAGAGACUCCUUCUAAAUUCAUGAAGAUAUGCGAGCCCAGUGACCCUGAAAAGGAUGUGAUCAAGGGCGUGGUGAUCGGAGUCCUAGUGGUUGUGGAAAAUGUGAUGGAGCCUCUCCCAGAAUUCUACAAUGACGUUGCCCUGGUGAUUGAGGAAGAAGUGGUGAUGCGUCACCUGAGUGACAUACCUAAUGCUUUUCUGAACCUGAUGGGCCUGGUGUACGCAUUAAACAUUGACUUUCCAAAGGAAUUAAAAUUCACUUUUGAA